AAUGCAAGUUGUUCUAUCGCUGUUAAUUUAUUAACAGAGGAAAGUCCGGGCAACAUAGGGCAAUCCGCCACCUGAAAGGGUGGGUGCAAAAACCGAAAUGUUUUUGUAACAGAAAGUGCCACAGAAAACAAGGUAGCCUUAUAACUUAGGUUAUGAGGUGAUAGUGAAAAUGUGAGGUAAGAGCUCACAAGCAUAAUUAGUGAUAAUUGUGUUGGGUAAACCUCGGAUGUUGAAAGGCCAAAUAGGUUGCGGUUUAAGGCGGCUCGUCUUAUUUCAGAAAUGAAAGCCGCAAUGGGUAGGUCGCAAAGAUAAAUGAUAGAAUAUACCCUUUCGGUUAAACGGAAGGAUGAAACAGAACCCGGCUUACAAACUUGCAAAAAAG
rnacentral:RNase_P_RNA from 1 species